GUAGUUCUUCACUUUUUCAGAGAGUUCGUCAGUGGUCAGUUGAGUAGUGAGGAUUGUGAACAGAUGUCCAAAUACCAGCGCAUCUAAUUCAGUUGGUCUGUGAAAGCAAAGAGAAAUAAGAACAGGUAUUUUGGAAGCCAGGAACUAUUCAACCAAUAAGAAAAGGAGCUCCAGGUGACAGCAGCUGGAAACAUCUCUUUUUUGAAAAUGGACUACACAGAAGAAGACAGGUAUUUUGGGAAACAGUGAUCCAUUAAACAUUUUGAGUCGUCCUACCUUAUACCUUGUACCUUAGGUACAAGCCUUCUGAAUUGUCGUCUUGGACGUCUGUAUGUAAGUAGCCCAUGUGCAAAUAAAAUUUUUUUUCAAUUAUACUAAGUUAUCUUAAUAUAUAAGUUAUAUUCAAUUAUCUUAAGUUAUAUUAAUAUAACUUAAGAGUCCUUCUCUAGUGUUCAAGGUAAGCAGCAUCAGGGGUUUUUAACUGAUAAAUUUUUUGCCUUUCUAUUUGUGGAUCACUAAGAACUCUCCAGCAGAGAUGUGGACCCUCGUAUAACAAACUUCAAUUUGGCAGCACCAGGCUGCCUUUAUUAUUUACCUCCUACAGACUCCCAGAAGUCACAGACUUCCUGAAAAAUACUGGACUAAGAAUACAUACUUCCUUAGUAGCAUUUCAGCUGACAAGCUUAAAGGUUGAAACUUUACCAAGAAAGCCUGGGUAACAAACAACAAAAACAAAAUCCCUGAGUUACAAUUCUUUACAAAUACAGAAAGAAAAAUUAGGAGAUUCUCUGUUAAAGAAUGAUGAGAAGAUGCAAUUAAAAUUAUCUUCUGUAAUACAUAUUUCUGUAUCCACUCAAUUUACACUACCCACCUACUCUCAACUUGGAAAAAUUAAGAGGCAAAGACCCACACAGAAAAGUAACCAAGACCAUAUACUGCCUUUUGAAGACAUCUCCCUGUCCAAACUGAAGUCCAGACCAGAGCAUUUCCAGUCUGGUCUAUGCACAGGAGAAGAGGGAAUUAACGUGAUGUUAUUUAAAUCUAUAACAUUUUAAAAAUAUUGAAUUAUGGUGAGAAAAAAAAAGCUCUUUGCAAUUGGAAGAAACGAGUGAAAGCAGAGACAUCCCAUGAAGGCCACAUUGUUCCUUUUUUCUCCCUGGGAACGUGAAUCUUAGUUUUCACUUUGCAACUGAUCCUAAGUCAUGAAUAGGAAAAAAAAAAACAACAGAAACUUAAAAAAAAAAAAAA